rnacentral:rRNA from 1 species
AUUGAACGCUGGCGGCAGGCCUAACACAUGCAAGUCGAGCGGAUGAAGGGAGCUUGCUCCUGGAUUCAGCGGCGGACGGGUGAGUAAUGCCUAGGAAUCUGCCUGGUAGUGGGGGAUAACGUCCGGAAACGGGCGCUAAUACCGCACACGUCCUGAGGGAGAAAGUGGGGGAUCUUCGGACCUCACGCUAUCAGAUGAGCCUAGGUCGGAUUAGCUAGUUGGUGGGGUAAAGGCCUACCAAGGCGACGAUCCGUAACUGGUCUGAGAGGAUGAUCAGUCACACUGGAACUGAGACACGGUCCAGACUCCUACGGGAGGCAGCAGUGGGGAAUAUUGGACAAAGGGCGAAAGCCUGAUCCAGCCAUGCCGCGUGUGUGAAGAAGGUCUUCGGAUUGUAAAGCACUUUAAGUUGGGAGGAAGGGCAGUAAGUUAAUACCUUGCUGUUUUGACGUUACCAACAGAAUAAGCACCGGCUAACUUCGUG